AAAGAAAGAUCAGCAAUAUGCAAGUAUUGGAUUUUUCAUAUGCUUCUAAGCUCUUAGACAAAAGCACUAAUUUGAAAUUUCACAGGUCACUUCUUUCUGAAAGGAGCAGAGUCAAUGUAACUACACCUUUCUCAUUGAGUCAUACCAGCUGUUGCAAGUAAUGCUGAACAAAAAUAAUUCCCUGGUUACUCUGCCUGCACUUUUAUCUGUGGUUAACAUCGCUGGGUUUGUUUAAGUCAGUCUCUUGUUUUGUGUGCAUCUGCCACAUAGCAUGAAAGACAUGUUUCUGUAAAUAAGCUGAACAAGUCGUUUAGGAGAUGUGUAAGAAAAUACAGAACUGCUUUUAACUAACUUUUGAAAGUUGGCUAGAUUUUAAGAUGCCUCUGUCCUUUCAACAGAUGCUCAGAACAGUAACUGCUCAUUAUUGCCUCAACACUCCAUCUUGGGAUAAUACAUCAGCCAGUCUGAUGGAAUAUUUUAUGUAGACUUACUACUUCCUGUGAGUCAGUGCUGUAAAUGGCAAUUACGUCUGCAAAGAACACAGCAUCAUUCAUGUCUCUUGCUGCCCUCAUGGCUAGAGGUGGUACAUUUAGUGAGAGUUAUGUUAGUUCUAAGAAUCAAAUGGAUCUAUAGAAAUGAUGGAAAUGUUCCUAGAAAAACAAAAAAGACUGAAUAAUUAUAUAUUUUUUCUAUGUUUGAAGCAUAUGGGUAAGCCCCAAGCUUCUAUCACUUCACGGGGUAAGAAAGCAAAUCCUAUUCCAGCAGUAACUCAGGAGCUACGUUUAAAGUAACAAGAUAACUUUAACUCAAUGUUUAUAUUCAGACUGACCGAACAGCUAUCUGUAUUUCUACUGUUUGUUUCCAAUAAAUUUGAAACUGGAAAAGACAAUCCAGAGGACUUGAUUAAGUUAAAAGUACUGGCAGUAGAGAGGGUAAAGAGGACAGUGAUUACUGGCUAGCAUCCAUGUAGGCAAAAAAUGUGUAACUGGUAUGUAAGCUAUUAAAGAAGAUCAGUAGAACUAAUGUUGGUCAAUAUGGGUAUAUGAAAAACAUAUCUGACCACAGUUUUAUUAAACAACACACUUGAUUAAAAAAAAUAGUGUUUACAUAACAAUAGUAUUUAUGUAAUACUUAGACUUCUUCCAAACAUUUUGACUUACCACUGCAUGACACUUUCUGUAUGCUUUCUGUCAUGCCAAGCUGAUCAAUAUGACCUGUUAAUUAACAGAAUAUUGGUUAACUGACAGCAAAAAACAAAAUAGUAAAUGAAGGAUUCUAACUGAGCAAGUAUAUUAUAUUACGGCUAUUUUAGAAAUUGCUUUUGACCAUGUGUUAUUUAAUUUUAAAUUACAUCAAACAUUGUACAAAAUUAUUAAUGACACCCAGACAACCCAAAAGAUUGGGGAUCCAAUAAGCAGCAAAGGUAAGUCAUUGAUGUGAUGCAGUCCACAUGACUUUAUUUAAUAAGUUGAGGGCAAGCAGACAAAUAUUUUGUGGAUAACUCUUAAAAUAAUACAUCUGUGAACAGUGAAAGCAGACUGUCCUUUUUACCUGUACAUUUGGUCUGCCCACCAAGUACCAGAGCUCAAGAACAGCCAAAUCUGAAGCCAUUGAAAGUCAGUUGAGCAAGGUGUUCUCAAAAUAAAAUUCCCUAGCAAACACAGAUUUUUGUUUUAGGAGUAUCUAAGCCUCAAUUUCUUUUCCUGGGUUUCCGUGUAUAUCAUGUGUCUGAUCAUCUCUAAAGCAUUCAUUAUGUUACAUGCUUACAAAACUUUAUUUUGGCAUCUCAGAGUAAGGCUAAAACAUCCCCAUGCUAUAGAUUGACUCUACUUUUGAACCUUGAGGCAGUCUUUUUAAAUAUGUCUUAUACCAUAGAUGCAUCAUUGUUACCCUUUCUCUGCCUUGCAUAACCUUUUCACAUGUAUUGGUACAGCUGUAACAAAUAAGGGAAUAAACCGAUGCCUGCAGAUAAUUCCCAUAGUCUAAUCAACCAUCAUGUUACGGCAAAGCUAAAGCUGCUCUUGCCUUCUUCAGACACUUGUGUUUUGCUGGACUUAAGAAGAGAUGAAAAUGCUGGUUGGAAUUUUUCUUCUGUUAAUGAGUUUUUAUUUAGGGAUUUGGAGGAGGAAUGAAGAGGUGCAGAUAGAUUUGUUGUGGAAGGUAACAAUGUAUAAACUCUUAAACAUGGUGCUUUGGUCAGAACACUGCAUGUAAUUCUUGGAUAUACAAAGAGAAAUCUCUGGGGACUAGAAAGACAAUACUAGUUAUAAGUUUGGCACUGAAAUAAUUUUUGUUGGAAUUUGCUUUGUCCAGUUUAGGAUUCAAGAAGACUGUUGGUAGAUGAAAAGGUUGAGAGAAGAGCCAGAAAAAUCAUUGAUUCAUGUGGCAUGAUACAAGGAAGUUCUUCUAUUUGGUUUAUAAACCAGAAAACUGUAUUGACUGCAGUCCAAAAGUAUCUGCAACGAAAUAGAAAUUUAAUGCCUGUUUUUACCAUCUAGCUGACAAAGACGUAACAGGAUCCGAUUGCUUAAUGUUGAAGCUGAACAAAAUCAGACUAGAACUUAGUGGUACAAUUUUCCUUGAAUAAUGAGCAGUUAAUCAUUGGAACAGUUUAAUUAAAAUUAUAAGGGACUUUCCAUCUCUAGGAGUUUAAUCUCAAGAGAUGUCUUUCUUAAAAGACGUACUCUAGCUCAAUUCUGCAGCAGUUCAGGAAAUCUCUAUGACAAAACAGAUCAGCCCGUGUGGUCACAGUGGAUGUUCUAGCCUUAUCUCUGAUGGUAACCAAGGUAGUCUGGGUUCUUCCUUCAGCUCUGCUGUGGGCUUACUUCAUGAUCCAGUUUUUUGCUAACAUUUCUAUGGGAACUUCAGCAGUGGUGUAAGAAAGGGCACAAUUGUAAAUGGUUUAGUGUUGUAAGGGAUACAGGCUUCAUAAAAACCUGUUCUAAAGAUGUACACAGAAGACAUCCAGCUACACAUGGAAUUUUAGCACUCCUUUUCAUGUUUAGUCUAGUUUCUGAGCAACAGCCUUGUGAAUUAACAGUGUAUGUGAUGAUUCUGAACUACUCUAUAAGCUUGUGGUCAUACACAGGAGGUGAAAUACUGUUUUGGAUUAACAGUCCUAGCUCAUGGAUUAACCCUUGUAUGCCUGUCCAAAAAUUGCAACUUGUGUUUGGGCUCUUGUUUGUAAAAUGAUACUUAGUCCUUCAAAUAAAAAGUGCAGAAGUAAUUAGUAACAUUAGCUUAUCAUUAUUUACAGCAAACCAAUUCUUUCUUUGUGCAUAGAGAACUAAAAUUAUAUCCUUGCUUGGCGAAAACUUCCUUUCUGCAAGUAAUAAAAAAUACAAAUAACCCUUACAAUGGCUACUUCAGCCUUAUUGCAGCUUGAGGCAUAACCACAUUGGCAGAAGGACAAUGUCUUGUCUCUAAUGGCUAUGAAGCCUUUCUGAACUUGACCUGAAUAUGAACUUAUACAAAAGAGACCUCUGUGCAGUGACCAGAACUUGAAAACAGAGUAUAAUUACGUAAGAUAUUUAAAAUAAGUUGGGGAGCAUGUUUCAGUGAGAUCAGCAUUCCAAGUAGUCCCUAACAAGAAUUGGAUAUUUGUAUCUGUUGCCAUGCAUUUUUUUAAUGACUUAUCGUCUGAAUUUUUCUGUUAAGCUUCCUCCAAGCUGAAACCUUAUACCUGAUACCUUAACAGGUUUUUGGUGCAAAGUUGCCCUUAAUAUCCUAUACAAGUCUCCCAACUUCUUUUAAUUACUUCAGUACUGACAAGGAAGGGAUAUGUUUUUAAAAAAAA